AUUUGAUGGAGCUCUCCAACAAGUCUGCAACAGUGGUGGGGAGUGGAGCUUGUCAUCAGAUGCCACUGCUCAGGAAGGCCUAGAGUUGUACUUGCUUAGUAGAGGAAGUUGCACCAAAGAAGACAGACAUUCUGUUUGUUCUAAGAACAAAAUGAGGAAGAUGUGACUGCAGCUACAACCAUCUCCUUCAAACUGUUCCUCAGCUAGGCUGCUUCUGCAUUCAGUCUGGGGACUGGACAGCUGUUGUUCUUCCUGCAGUUGUAAGGA